AUUGAACGCUGGCGGAAUGCUUUACACAUGCAAGUCGAACGGCAGCACGGACUUCGGUCUGGUGGCGAGUGGCGAACGGGUGAGUAAUGUAUCGGAACGUGCCCAGUCGUGGGGGAUAACGUAGUGAAAAUCACGCUAAUACCGCAUACGAUCUAUGGAUGAAAGCGGGGGAUCGCAAGACCUCGCGCGAUUGGAGCGGCCGAUAUCAGAUUAGGUAGUUGGUGGGGCAAAGGCCCACCAAGCCAACGAUCUGUAGCUGGUCUGAGAGGACGACCAGCCACACGGGAACUGAGACGCGGUCCAGACUCCUACGGGAGGCAGCAGUGGGGAAUGUUGGACAAUGGGCGAAAGCCUGAUCCAGCCAUUCCGCGUGCAGGAUGAAGGCCCUCGGGUUGUAAACUGCUUUUGUACAGAACGAAAAGGUUUCUACUAAUACUAGGAGCUCAUGACGGUACUGUAAGAAUAAGCACCGGCUAACUACGUGCCAGCAGCCGCCGUAA
rnacentral:rRNA from 1 species